rnacentral:piRNA from 1 species
UACCUUUGUUUACUCUACAGCAUACAU